UUUAGUUCCACUUGUGGUUGAUUUGCUACUUUUCAGAUGCUGCCUCAGGGCUAGAAGUCAUAGUUUGAAGAGUGUUUGGUCUUCAUGGAAGUGAAUAAGUAUUUAUCUGGGUUGGAGAACUUUAGGCAGCAGGGUUUUUUGCAAUCUGUGGUGGUGACGACCACACUCAAGCACUCAAACCCCCAAGAGCACCAUCGGCCCCCAAGAGGAGGGGGCGGGGAACACCACAAGACCAGCAGGACUUACCUGCAAAGGAGAGAGAGCCCAGACAGACCCAAGGGCUUUCAGAAGAGGAAAGUAUCACUCUGUAGUUCUGGAUUCAGAUAGCAGUCUUCUUCAGGCUUGGAGCUCUGGCUAGAGAGGCACUAGGCAGUGCUGGACACUGGGCCAGGGACCUACAGCCAGAGCUGGCAUCCUUUCCACUGUCCCCUGUUUUGUCCAAGAAACAAGAGCCCAGGAGCAGCUAUAGAUGACACUCAAGCUUGGGAGCAAGGAGUAAGCAUGAAGGGCGGAAGAAGCUAGAUCCCAAGCCAACACCAGGGGCAAGAAACCAAACCUCAACCCUCUACCAGAAGAGCCAGAGACUCUAGACCAGCGGUUCCCAAACUCAAAUGGAAAACCAGGAUCCCUGUUUAUUGCAACCCCAUCUGUUGAUGUUGUGAUCCCAUUUGCGACUGUGACACAGUUUGGGAGCUGCUGCUGUAAGGCCUUGAGUUGUGAUCUCCCAGAAAGGCAUUGUGUUUUCUUUUGGGGUUGUGGGAAGUCUUGAAUGGCUUGUAACUUCAUAGCUGUCUUCUUUGUUGUAGGUAACAUUUGGUAUAAAACUGUCUUUAAAAAAAAAGAGAGAGAGAGAGAGAUGCCAUCUGGCUCAGUAAUCAGUGACCCAUGACAGAUGACAAAUACUGCCCUAGGGCCAGUGGUUCUCACUGGGGUGCCGCAAGAGCCUUCUAGGGUGUUAUGGUGCAGGCACUGCCCCCCCACCCCCAGUAGAAACCACCCUAUGUGCCCCAUGCAAAGCCAGAUCAGGAAGCAGGUACAGCAGGAGCAGGCGCUCUCCUCAACAUUAGAUUUAUCUGAUAAACCAGUAAGAAAAUCGUAUGGCUUCACACAAAGCAUGCAGUGAAGAACCACAUGGCCAUGGAGAUGGUGGCAUGAUUCUGGUUGAGAAUCGUUGAGGUAAGUGGAGGCAGCACAACAAUGGUUCUCAACUGGGGAGAUGCUAUGUUCAGAAAAACGUUACAUAGCUGGGUACUGCUACAUUCAGUUAUGGAGAGCUGCCUUGAAUCUAAAAAUGUUGCGAACCACUGCCCUAGGCCAACUGCACAGCACUGUAGCAUGGAGAAAAACAGGCUGCUCCCUGAUCUUCAUGUACAUGUCUGAUCUCCACUAUCCCAGAAGCCCUGCAGCCAUGGAUGGAUCUAGGAUUUUGAAAGGGGGGGUGUUGAUGGUGUGGUGCAUUAUCAUCAAGUAUAACAAAACACACAAUUUUUCUCUGUUAGAAAG